AUGAGCUUCUAUAGCCUGCCUGAGACUCUGCACCAUGAGAUUGCUAGAGUUCAGGGGGCUUCUUCUUGGCUGGCAAGGGCGACAAGCAGAAGUACCACAUGGUCCGGUGGACUGAGAUCUGUAAGCCGCACGAUCAGGGUGGUUGUCGGUGUCAAAACCGGCGGAUCUCGGGUAGGGGGUCCCGAACCGUGCGUCUAA
rnacentral:rRNA from 1 species